UACAGGGGGGGCAAGCGUUGUCCGGAAUUACUGGGCGUAAAGGGUGCGUAGGCGGCGCGGUAAGUCGGGUGUGAAAUCUCGGAGCUUAACUCCGAAACUGCAUUCGAUACUGCCGUGCUUGAGGACUGGAGAGGAGACUGGAAUUUACGGUGUAGCGGUGAAAUGCGUAGAUAUCGUAAGGAAGACCAGUGGCGAAGGCGGGUCUCUGGACAGUUCCUGACGCUGAGGCACGAAGGCCAGGGGAGCAAACGGG
rnacentral:rRNA from 1 species